AUGGCUCAGUUGGUAGAGCAUGGUGUUUGCAACGCCAGGGUUGUGGGUUCGAUUCCCACU
rnacentral:tRNA from 1 species